rnacentral:rRNA from 1 species
GCUUGAGGAGGAUCCUUAAUUCAACAUCGAGGUCACAUAUAAAGAAAUUGAUUAGUGCUCAUUUUCUAAUUUAUGCUGUUAUCCCUAAAGUACCUUUAUUUAACUAUUAAGGGUCUAUUAAUAUUAAAAAUAUAUUUUUCUUUAAAAUUGUCCCAAUUAAAUUAUUAAGGUUUUAGGGUCUUCUCGUCUAUGACUAAUAUCUGAGAGUUUUCACUCAGAACUAAAUUUUAAAUAUUUUAGUUAGAACCAUGAGUUGAGUUUUGCUUUUCAUACCAGUCCUCAAUUAAAAGACUAAUGAUUGUGCUACCUUAGCACUAAGUGGCCGUUAACUAUUAAGCACUGGGCAAGCUAUAUUAAAAAUUCAAAUAUGUUUUUGUGAAACAGUCUCAACAUCUCAAUUUAUCAAACUAAAAAUCCUUAUAAUAUUUAUAAAAAUUUUUUAUCAUAUAAUUUUUUUUAUUUUUUACUUAUGUUUUAAUAGUUUAAAAAUUUUAGUUUAUUAAAGAAAUUAUCAUAUAAAUUUUAUUUAAUUAUAAAAUAAUUUUUAAAUUAAUUUUAAUUUUGAAAUUUAUUAAUUAUUUUUAAAACCAAUAUUAUAGUAAAAAACUUAACUUUUUUACUAUGGUAAAACUUCUGUUUCUUCCUUUAACCAAGUCAUUACUUUUAUA